AUACGGAGGAUGCGAGCGUUAUCCGGAUUUAUUAGGUUUAAAGGGUGUGUAGGCGGUAUUUUAAGUCAGUGGUGAAAUCUCGGAGCUUAACUUCGAAACUGCCAUUGAUACUGGAAUACUUGAGUAUAGUUGAGGUAGGCGGAAUAUGUAAUGUAGCGGUGAAAUGCAUAGAUAUUACAUAGAGCACCGAUUGCGAAGGCAGCUUACUAAACUAUUACUGACGCUGAUGCACGAAAGCGUGGGGAGCGAACAGAAUUAGAAACCCUAGUAGUCC
rnacentral:rRNA from 1 species